rnacentral:rRNA from 1 species
UACGUAGGGUGCAAGCGUUGUCCGGAAUUAUUGGGCGUAAAGAGCUCGUAGGCGGUCUGUCGCGUCGGCUGUGAAAACCCGGAGCUCAACUCCGGGCCUGCAGUCGAUACGGGCAAACUGGAGUGUUGCAGGGGAGACUGGAAUUCCUGGUGUAGCGGUGAAAAUGCGCAGAUAUCAGGAGGAACACCGGUGGCGAAGGCGGGUCUCUGGGCAACAACUGACGCUGAGGAGCGAAAGCGUGGGGAGCGAACAGG